GUUUGCAUAACGUAGUCUUUAGUCCACAAUACCAUGCGGUUCUGCUUCUGCGACUAGCCCCUCAGUGACGCAUCCAGGCUCUGGGUCCCCCAGCCUCAAAGCCAGCAGAUGGAGCAGUGCGUUCAGUGAAAAGUUAAACUGUAAUCAUGGUGUGAAAGGACCCAGAACUUAAGAACUCCCUGAAAUAGUGACAACAUGGAUCCCGUGAAUCAGAAAUGAACCAGAAAAGAUGGAGGCGCAGCCCUGAGAUGACAGACAAGAGGGAACAUUUUAAACAACAGCCACAUGGCAGCACCAGGGACCAAGUCUGUAGAAGCUGGCUCAUCCGUCAUAAUAGGAAAAUGUUCAGAAAAUGAAAGAAAAAGAAAAGCCUGGCCUCCCUGGCCAUUUCAACUCCGUCUUAACAGUCUCACUUCCAGAAGAGGCAGUGUGCACACCAAUUUCCAGAGCAGUGUUCUGAGGCUCACACACCUCAAUAUGACGUUAUCUUCCUGAGAAUGAA